AUGGUGAUGUUGAAAAUGUUGAUGAAGAUUGCCCUCCCCAAGAUGGGAGAGUUGUUGGUGAUGAUGAUGAUGAUGAUUUCCCCCUCCGAGAGGGAAGUUCCCCCGGCGGAAUCGCUCCGCCGGAGGGCAAAAGUGCUCCUGCCCAAAUUCCGCCUCGAGACGGCGGUGCUUCAUCCCGAAAGUCCUCCCCUUAUUUUUUUUCUAGGUCAAAAUGACUUAUAUACCAAAAGAGGGGCACCGGAGGUGGGACGAGGAGGGCAUAACCCACCAGGGCGCGUGGGCUCCCUGGCGUGCCCAGGUGGGUUGUGCCCACCUGGUGGGCCCCCUCUGGUAGUUAUUUGCUCCAAUAAUUCUUAUUUAUUCCAUAAAAUUCCUCGUGAAGUUUUAGCUCAUUUGGAGUUGUGCAGAAUAGGUAGCCUGACGUAG
rnacentral:rRNA from 1 species